rnacentral:rRNA from 1 species
UACGAAUGGAGCGAGCGUUGUUCGGAAUCACUGGGCGUAAAGCGUGCGCAGGCGGUUGUGAAAGUUAGAAGUGAAAGCCCAGGGCUUAACCUUGGAAUUGCUUUUAAAACUCCACAACUAGAGUACUGGAGAGGUUAGCGGAAUUCCGAGUGUAGAGGUGAAAUUCGCAGAUAUUCGGAGGAACACCAAUGGCGUAGGCAGCUAACUGGACAGUAACUGACGCUCAGGCACGAAAGCGUGGGGAUCAAACAGG